UACGUAGGGGGCGAGCGUUGUCCGGAGUUACUGGGCGUAAAGGGCGUGCAGGCGGUGCAGUAAGUUUGGAGUGACAGUUCCCGGCUCAACUGGGGAAGGCCUCUGAAAACUGCUGGACUUGAGGGCCAGAGAGGGACAUAGAAUUCCGGGUGGAGUGGUGAAAUGCGUAGAUAUCCGGAGGAACACCAAAGGCGAAGGCAGUGUCCUGGGAAGCAUCUGACGCUCAGGUGCGAAAGCCAGGGGAGCGAACGGG
rnacentral:rRNA from 1 species